rnacentral:lncRNA from 1 species
AUUGCUUCGAGGACUACCUGAGAGCACGUAUUUGUGAAGACAGCUGCUGAGCCUAUAAUAGCUGCUCACAAAUGUUUGCAGAACCUGAAGUCCCAGCUCACCGAGUCUUUCCCAACACUUCUCUUCCAUCGCAAUCCUGCUCAGGCAUUGAAGCGCUUAAGCAAUUCUAGAAACAGCAGAACAAGACACAGUCCUGGCCUCUCAAGAAUUACGGUUUGUUAGGGGAGAUGAGACAUUUCCAAGAUAUCCAACCCUGAUUUCAACAGCUCCCAAAGCAGCUGGCAUGAUGCUCUCUGCAGGGUCGUUGGACGCCCACCCACUUCACAAACAGGACAUUUGGAGGAAGAUACUACAUUUUCUUUUCAACUUCUGAGAAAACAGAGUCUCCACGAGGCACGUGGUCUGGUCUGCAGAGUGAGAUUUCUCUCCCUGUGCACUGUGGCAAUGCAUUCACCACAAACCCCUCAACAGAGGCUGACAUUCUUAUAAGAAGUUAAAAACGAAAUGCAAUUCUAAUCCUUAGGAGAGUCAUCUUUUUGUCUGUGUUUUUCCUUGCUUGUCUCUAGGUCUCUGCCAAUUUAGAGUCAGAGACAAU